GUAAAAGUGCACAAUCAGUGGAUCACAGUAUCACCAUAUAGUUGUGCAUUCAUCACCAUAAUUAAUUUUUGGACAUUUUCAUUACUCCAAAAAAAAUAGGAAUAAAAAUUAAAAAGAACUCCCCCAAAACCCCAUUCCCCUUAUCACCCCUAUUAUUUAUUUUUGUCUUUGUUUUCUUAUUCAUCUGUCCAUACACUGGAUAAAGGGACUGCCAAUUACAAGGUUUUUGCAACUACACAGUCACACCUUAAGAGCUAUAUAAUUAUACAAUCAUGUCCAAGAAUUAAGAAUCAAGGAUACUGGAUUACAGUUCAACAGUUUCAGGAGGACUACAUGUCACAGCCUCUCUUAUAGUUCAGUGGGAGCCAAGUGCCUGAGUUCUGGCUAUGGAAUGUGGGCAAAAGUUCUGGCUACAGAAUGCAUGCAAAAACCUGUCCAUAAAGAGCCCCGAGUGCUUUAUCUCCCCUUCUACAUUGACUGUGGAGACCAAAUGCUGAAGGUGGUUGCACUGCAAGAAAAAAGGAACUUGGAUCCCUGGAUCACCCCCUGGAAGAAAGUCAACAAGAAGGGCCACCCAACCCACAAUUGGAUUGUGAUUCUGAGCAUGAAAUACAAAUUUUUUAAUUAAGUGAAAUGUGGUUGUUUGUGGUAGUGCUUAUUAAUGUUAUUCCAACAUACAGUUCACAUAUAAGAGAUUAUUAAAUUUAACGUAUCAUUUUUCCCCAUUUUAAAAUAAAAACAUGCUGUUUUAUGUGAA